rnacentral:rRNA from 1 species
AGCAGCCGCGGUAAUUCCAGCUCCAAUAGCGUAUAUUAAAGUUGUUGCAGUUAAAAAGCUCGUAGUUGAAUUUCGGGAUCGACGGGUCGGUCGCGCCUCUGGUGUGUACUGGCCCUGUCGGUUUCUCCCUUCUGACGAACUGCGAUGUCAUUAAUUUGGUGUCGUAGGGAAUCAGGACUGUUACUUUGAAAAAAUUAGAGUGUUUAAAGCAGGCAUUCGCUUGAAUACGUUAGCAUGGAAUAAUGAAAUAGGACGUUUGAUCUUAUUUUGUUGGUUUCUAAGAUCGACGUAAUGAUUAAUAGGGAUAGCUGGGGGCAUUAGUAUUCAAUUGUCAGAGGUGAAAUUCUUGGAUUUAUUGAAGACUAACUACUGCGAAAGCAUUUGCCAAGGAUGUUUUCAUUAAUCAAGAACGAAAGUUAGGGGAUCGAAGACGAUCAGAUACCGUCGUAGUCUUAACCAUAAACUAUGCCGACUAGGGAUCGGAUGAUGUUAAUUUUUUAAUGACUCAUUCGGCGCCUUA